CCUACGGGAGGCAGCAGUGAGGAAUAUUGGUCAAUGGACGAGAGUCUGAACCAGCCAAGUAGCGUGAAGGAUGACUGCCCUAUGGGUUGUAAACUUCUUUUAUAUGGGAAUAAAACGUUCCAUGUGUGGGAUUUUGUAUGUACCAUAUGAAUAAGGAUCGGCUAACUCCGUGCCAGCAGCCGCGGUAAUACGGAGGAUCUGAGCGUUAUCCGGAUUUAUUGGGUUUAAAGGGAGCGUAGGUGGAUUGUUAAGUCAGUUGUGAAAGUUUGCGGCUCAACCGUAAAAUUGCAGUUGAAACUGGCAGUCUUGAGUACAGUAGAGGUGGGCGGAAUUCGUGGUGUAGCGGUGAAAUGCUUAGAUAUCACGAAGAACUCCGAUUGCGAAGGCAGUUCACUGGACUGCAACUGACACUGAUGCUCGAAAGUGUGGGUAUCAAACAGGAUUAGAUACCCCAGUAGUC
rnacentral:rRNA from 1 species